rnacentral:rRNA from 1 species
AACGAACGCUGGCGGCAUGCCUAACACAUGCAAGUCGAACGAGACCUUCGGGUCUAGUGGCGCACGGGUGCGUAACGCGUGGGAACCUGCCCUUAGGUUCGGGAUAACUCCCCGAAAGGGGUGCUAAUACCGGAUAAUGUCUUCGGACCAAAGAUUUAUCGCCUUUGGAUGGGCCCGCGUUGGAUUAGCUAGUUGGUAGGGUAAAAGCCUACCAAGGCGACGAUCCAUAGCUGGUCUGAGAGGAUGAUCAGCCACACUGGGACUGAGACACGGCCCAGACUCCUACGGGAGGCAGCAGUGGGGAAUAUUAGACAAUGGGCGAGAGCCUAAUCCAGCAAUGCCGCGGGAGUGAUGAAGGCCUUAGGGUUGUAAAGCUCUUUUACCCGGGAUGAUAAUGACAGUACCGGGAGAAUAAGCACCGGCUAACUCCGUG